rnacentral:rRNA from 2 species
GGAAGGUAUAGCAAUAGCUAAUUGUAUUAACAAAUAGUUUUUACAAUAUCGAUUUAAUCGACUAAAAUUCUAGGUAGAUUUAUGAUGAUGACAUUAUCUAUCUAUGUGUCUUGACCAAAUUACGUGCCAGCAGUCGCGGCAAGACGUAGAAGACUAGUGUUAUUCAUCUUUAAUAGGUUUAAAGCGUACCUAGACGGUAAUUAAAGCCUACAUCAGGAACUUGUUUACUAGAGUUAAAUGUAAGGGUGUAUUAAAGUACUGUUGAGUGUAGAGAUGAAAUUCGUUGAUACCAAAUAAUUGGCACAGGUAUAGGCGAAAGCAUCACUUUAUGUAAUAACUGACGUUGACGGACGAAGGCUUUGUGUCGCGAACAGGAUUAGAUACCCCAGUAGUCUUAGCAGAAAACUAUGAGUGUCAUAGGUUAGAUUUUAUCUGGUCUAUAAAUGAAAGUGUAAGCACUCCACCUCAAGAGUAAUUUGGCAACAUUGGAACUGAAAUCAUUAGACCGUUUCUGAAACCAGUAGUGAAGUAUGUUGUUUAAUUUGAUGAUCCGCAAAGAACCUUACCACAAUUUGAAUAUAAAUGAUUUAUUUUUACAAGCGUUGCACGGCUGUCUUCAGUUAAUGUCGUGAGAUAUUGGUUUAUUCCAUUAAAUUAACGUAAACCCGUACUUUAUUUUUAUAUAAAGUUUUUCAUUCGCUAUAAUGGAUGUGAUAACAGGGACUAAGACAAGUCAUCAUGGC